GAUGAACGCUGGCGGCGUGCUUAACACAUGCAAGUCGAACGGAAAGGCCAGUGCUUGCACUGGUACUCGAGUGGCGAACGGGUGAGUAACACGUGGGUGAUCUGCCCUGUACUUCGGGAUAAGCUUGGGAAACUGGGUCUAAUACCGGAUAGGACAACUUUUUGGAUAUUGUUGUGGAAAGCUUUUGCGGUAUGGGAUGAGCUAGCGGCCUAUCAGCUUGUUGGUGGGGUUAUGGCCUACCAAGGCGUCGACGGGUAGCCGGCCUGAGAGGGUGUACGGCCACAUUGGGACUGAGAUACGGCCCAGACUCCUACGGGAGGCAGCAGUGGGGAAUAUUGCACAAUGGGCGAAAGCCUGAUGCAGCGACGCCGCGUGGGGGAUGAAGGCAUUCGGGUUGUAAACUCCUUUCGCUAGGGACGAAGCUUUUUUGUGACGGUACCUGGAGAAGAAGCACCGGCUAACUACGUG
rnacentral:rRNA from 1 species